rnacentral:rRNA from 1 species
UAGUCCACGCCGUAAACGAUGUCAACUAGCCGGUUGGUUUCCAUUUAAGGGUCAGUGGCGCAGCUAACGCGAUAACGUUGACCGGCCUGGGGAGUACGCCGGCAAACGGUAAAACUCAAAGGAAUUGGACCGGGGGCCCGCACAAGCGGUGGAGCAUGUGGUUUAAUUCGAUGCAACGCGAAAAACCUUACCUACCCUUGACAUCAUUGGAACUUGUUAGAGAUAACUUGGUGCCUUCGGGAACCAAUAGACAGGUGCUGCAUGGCUGUCGUCAGUUCGUGUCGUGAGAUGUUGGGUUAAGUCCCGCAACGAGCGCAACCCUUGUCCUUAGUUGCCAGCGCGUAAUGGCGGGAACUCUAGGGAGACUGCCGGUGACAAACCGGAGGAAGGUGGGGAUGACGUCAAGUCAUCAUGGCCCUUACGGGUAGGGCUACACACGUGCUACAAUGGUCGGUACAGAGGGUUGCGAAGCCGCGAGGUGGAGCUAAUCUCACAAAACCGAUCGUAGUCCGGAUUGGAGUCUGCAACUCGACUCCA